AUGCUCGCUUCAGCAGCACAUAUACUAAAACCGGAACAUUACAGAGAAGAUUAGCAUGGCCCCUGUGCAAGGAUGACAUGUAAAAACUAUGUGUGUCUUAUGAUC